rnacentral:rRNA from 1 species
AGUGAACGCUGGCGGUAGGCCUAACACAUGCAAGUCGAGCGAGUGGCUGACGGGUGAGGAAUACGUCGGGAUCUACUCUGUCGUGGGGGCUAAGGUAGGGGAACAUCCGCUAAUACCGCAUAAGAAUGAAUGAGGCGGUCUCGGAUUAGCUAGUUGGGGGGGUAAAGGCCCUCCAAGGCGACGAUCCAUAGCUGGUCUGAGAGGAGGAUCAGCCACACUGGAACAGAGACAAGGUCCAGACUCCUAAGGGAGGCAGCAGUGGGGAAUAUUGGGCAAGGGGGGCAAGCCUGAUCAAGCCAUACCGCGUGGGUGAAGAAGGACUUCGGGUUGUAAAGCCCUUUUGUUGGGAAAGCGGUACCCAAAGAAUAAGCACCGGCUAACUACGUGCCAGCAGCCGCGGUAAUAC